UCCAAUCGAACCCGGAGAUAGCUGGUUCUCCCCGAAAUAGCUUUAGGGCUAGCGUCGCAGCGAGAGAGCCGUGAAGGUAGAGCACUGAAUAUGCGAUGGCCGCAUCCCGCGGUACUGAGCAUAAUCAAACUCCGAAUGUCACGGUGUCAUCUGCGGCAGUCAGACGGCGAGUGAUAAGGUCCGUCGUCAAGAGGGAAACAGCCCAGACCAUCAGCUAAGGUCCCAAAGUGCAUGCUAAGUGGAAAAGGAAGUGGAGACGUGCAGACAACUAGGAGGUUGGCUCAGAAGCAGCCAUCCUUCAAAGAGUGCGUAACAGCUCACUAGUCGAAUGACUCUGCGCCGAUAAUUUACCGGGGCUAAGCAUGACACCGAAGCUAUGGACAGGAAUGUGGUAGGGGAGCAUUGCAUGCAGCGGAGAAGCAUGACCGGGAGGGCAUGUGGAGCGCAUGGAAGAGAGAAUGCCGGCGUGAGUAGCGGCACGUGGGUGAGAAUCCCACGCACCGAUGGCCCAAGGUCUCCAGAGGAAGGCUCGUCCUCUCUGGGAUAGUCGGGACCUAAGGCGAGGCCGAAAGGCGUAGCCGAUGGACGACGGGUGGAUAUUCCCGUACCCGAUGUGUGGCGAUGGAGUGACGGAGAAGGCUCAGGCAACCAGCUGCUGGAAUAGCUGGGGCAAGCGAGAUACCUGCGCACCAGGGAAAUCCGGUGCGCAUAAGGGGAAGGCGCGAUGCAUACGGAAAGCUUCGGCAAGUACGGAAAAGCUGAGAGCAGGCUUCCAGGAAAAGCUUCUAGCACAACACACAUCGGCCCGUACCGAAAAUGGACACACAUGGGCAAGGAGAGAAUCCUGAGGUGAGCGAGAGAACUAUAGCUAAGGAACUCUGCAAAAUGACCCCGUAACUUAGGGAGAAGGGGUGCUCCAGAAAUGGAGCCGCAGUAAAACGGCCCAAGCGACUGUUUACCAAAAACACAGCUCUCUGCGAAGGCGCAAGCCGAAGUAUAGGGGGUGACGCCUGCCCGGUGCUGGAAGGUCAAGGGGAGCUGUCAGCGCAAGCGAAGCAGCGAGCCGAAGCCCCAGUAAACGGCGGCCGUAACUAUAACGGUCCUAAGGUAGCGAAAUUCCUUGUCGGGCAAGUUCCGACCCGCACGAAAGGCGUAACGAUUUGGGCGCUGUCUCAGCUGUAGACUCGGUGAAGUCUUAGUACCUGUGAAGAUGCAGGUUGCCCGCGACUAGACGGAAAGACCCCAUGGAGCUUCACUGCAGGUUGACAUUGGGCUUGGAUGCAUGAUGUACAGGAUAGGUGGGAGGCUGUGAGCCGUGCGCGCCAGCGUACGGGGAGCCGCUGUUGGGAUACCACCCUUCAUGCAUCUAGGUCCUAACCGGAGGCAACGGGCCACGGGACAGUGUCAGUCGGGCAGUUUGACUGGGGCGGUCGCCUCCCAAAGAGUAACGGAGGCGCCCAAAGAUACCCUCAGCAUGGAUGGAAACCAUGCAUAGAGUGCAAAGGCAUAAGGGUGUCUGACUGCGAGACAUACAGGUCGAGCAGGGACGAAAGUCGGGCUUAGUGAUCCGGCGGAUCCGAAUGGAAGGGCCGUCGCUCAACGGAUAAAAGCUACCCUGGGGAUAACAGGCUGAUCUCCCCCAAGAGUCCACAUCGACGGGGAGGUUUGGCACCUCGAUGUCGGCUCAUCGCAUCCUGGGGCUGUAUUCGGUCCCAAGGGUUUGGCUGUUCGCCAAUUAAAGCGGUACGCGAGCUGGGUUCAGAACGUCGUGAGACAGUUCGGUCCCUAUCUGUCGUGGGCGUAGGAUAUUUGAAGAGCGCUGUCCCUAGUACGAGAGGACCGGGAUGGACGCACCGCUGGCGCAUCGGUUGUCAUGCCAAUGGCACGGCCGAGCAACUAUGUGCGGUUUGGAUAAACGCUGAAAGCAUCUAAGCGUGAAGCCAUCUCUAAGAUAAGAUAUCCCAUAGCAUAAGCUAGUAAGACCCCUCAAAGACUAUGAGGUUGAUAGGCUGCGUGUGUAAGUACGGCGACGUAUUUAGCUUGGCAGUACUAAUAGGUCGAGGGCUUGACCU
rnacentral:rRNA from 1 species